GUCCCUACGAACGUUGUUGCCCUUCUCUUGGCCUCCUCUCAGAGAUUCUUUGCCAAUAACCGGUCGGGCAACGUACCGCCUGUAUAAGACGAUUAUUGUACGGGGAGAGCGGAGAGACUGGAAGGAGAAAAAGAGAGAGGAGACGGAGCACCAGCGCGGGAGGAGGCAGGAGAGGAGCACUGCCUAUCGAUCCUUGAGAGCAUACAGACCAGUACCGAUAUACCGACCAGGAAACACAUGCCUAGAUGUGGACGUUGUACCUGCAUGGGUAAGGGCGGGCAGCGGACUGAGAAUCGCGACACAGACCCAAGUGAGGAACUUCAUGGUUGCAUUCGAUGUUAGGUAUGCGUGCACACGGAGGACCUGGAUACAUCCGCGAAAUGAAAGUAGAGUUUUUUAACGUCGACGAGUAACGAGAAUAUUCCAUAAGGAGGUUGCGCAGGCGGGUAGCGUGGCACAAGAUUGUUCGUAGUCGAAUAGAUUUUUUCAAUGGGGAGAUAUUGCAAAAAAAUGAACGAGAACCGAAGAGCGUCGAUUUGGCGUGUUAUGUUUUUCAACGAAAUAAUUACGAGCUGAAUGGAUCACCGCGGAAUA
rnacentral:misc_RNA from 1 species